rnacentral:rRNA from 1 species
AACGUAGGAGACGAACGUUAUCCGGAGUUACUGGGCGUAAAGGGCGUGUAGGCGGUUUGUUAAGUCUGGCGUGAAAGCUCUCGGCUAAACCGGGAGAGGUCGUUGGAUACUGGCGAACUCGAGGAUGGUAGAGGCGUGUGGAAUUCCGGGUGUAGUGGUGAAAUGCGUAGAGAUCCGGAGGAACACCAGUGGCGAAGGCGGCUCUCUGGGCCAAUACUGACGCUGAAGCACGAAAGCCAGGGGAGCAAACGGG